ACAGCUCAGCUGUCAUAAAUUUUUUCUAGUAAUUUUAAGGUCUCUCCAGACUUCAAAUUGGUACUUCAAGGAUAUUUUAAAAUUUGAAUCCUUUAAUUCUCUUUCCAAGAAGAUGCAGAUGUUCCACACUCCUCACUACAGUCUGCGUUCCUGGUCUUGUCCGACAGAGAUGUAAAUUCAAAGUCCUUCUCAGAAGCACUGGUUAGUGAUUAUGAGUUUAGUGUCGUGGAUGGGGAAUCCUUCAGUUUUCGCCUGGGAGGCGCAACAUGUUGCUAGAACGCUAGAAGCUGCGGAGCGUCAUUUUCAUAGCGGGUUGACCCACGAACUCAGGGAGAAAUUUGAGGAAAACUUAAAGGUGAACAGAAAGUCCAAUGAAACUCAACUGAGCUUCAAGCAGUAAAAGGUACUCAGAUGAAAAGCCAAGUACUUAUGUCUGGCACAAUCAGGUACUUAGCUGAAGACUUCCCAAGAUCAAGAAUAAACAGAUAUCCGGACGGGCAGCAGAUGAGAUAUUGUGCCGUGAAGGCAUUAUGAGCUUACACGUGAUCGAAUGCAUGGAGCGAAGAAACAACCGCAUGGAAAAAAAAAUCGACCACAGAGAUAAGUCGUGUACUUUUUUCAUUAUUGUGUCUCACGUUAUUGCGUAAUGAUAAUGUCUUCUUAUUCUUUAAACGACCACAAUGAUUAUAUAAUACACCUUUUUUAGCGAACGAAUUUAUUUUUGUCUCUUGCACGCUUUCGCUGGUUAUGAGACAGUUCGCGUUAGAAAAGAGAUCCCAAUAGACUUAAGAUGGUGAUUUUGGUGUGUUUGAGAAUCCAUAGAGAUAUCUUAAGUCUGAAACGGUGAUAGCAGGGAAUAGAUUUCAAGCUGGUCUUACUGUGAAACGUACGUUUAAUUUCGUGCAAACGACCGAGAACCGAGAAAAAUUAUGAAAAAAAAUUUAAUGCUGGCAUUUUUAUCGAAAAAGGUAAUUUGCACUUGUAUUCAUUUGCUCGGAAACCAUUAUUCAUCCACUAUAUAUAUAUAUUAAUUGAAAGCAAUGAUUGCGUUGCAAACCGAAUUGAUGAAUACGAGAGUAUGGUAAAUUUAACUGUGCAUUGGUUUAUCAAGACUAUCAAGGUCGCAUUCAGUAUCAACAAUGUUAUUAAUAAAAGUCAGUGGUUUUAACAUCACAAACAUACUCAAUACAAUCUAAGUCAUACUAGCAGAAUCCAUAGAUGUUGUUAUUGUAGUAUCAUGCUGAAUGCUCCUCAAAAUUUGAGCUCAGAUGCCGCCGAAAUUUCAAAAUAUUUUGAAAAUUGUUUGCACUCCUUUGGGUGCAAAAAAUUGACAUAUAUGUAGAUAUUUGUUUCGUUUUCUUUCAUUCUCAGAGAAAAGUUUUUCCUGUUAGAAAUUCAAACUUUAAAUAAAUUAGCUAUAUUUUCACAUUCUGCACUCAGGCAUUUUAUCGAAACUACGGAGUGUUUGCGAUACUGAAGCGUAAAGUUGAACUCCCCAAUUUAUGCCAACUCACCAUCGACACAAGAGCAAUGAUCAUACUUCCAAGAUCAUGGUACCGAAUGAUGUUAUGGAAAAACUGUGAGAAAUUUCCGGCCAACACACGAUGACAGGCAAUCCUCACCCCUAGAAAUUAUACCCUUUCUCAAGGAAAGGAAGGAAGAGAAAUCCAAGGAGCCAUAUUGAUAAAGUUCCUUCUAGUCCCUGAGGAAACAGAUGGCCCUUCCUCUCUGAAAGUUGAAAGAUACAAAUUCCGAUGAACAAUCACUAACAAUCGAUUGCCUAUCUAUUCCGUCAUUUAGCCUUCUUGUAGUGCAUAAACGCACGUGUGAUUGAAAUAGAUUAAUUGAAACUGAAAGUUUUGUAAAGCCCCUUUCGUGUGACACCAACUAGCCACUAGCUUCAUUACUUUUACAUCAGACCACGCAAUCAAG